UUGAAAGGGAAACGAUUGAAGUUCAGUCGUACCCACGAGAAUCAGUUUUCCAGGCGAGCUUUUGGUGAGGCGUGAGAUGUUAAAGGGUCGGUGUUUGUGAUUAAUGGUUUUUGGGUGUACUUUUUCGGAUGGGAGGCCAACGUCGGUUUCGAUCACCAUAAAAUGGUUGGGAGGAAUGUAGCUUCUAUCUCUAAUUGAAGUGUUAUAGCCUUUGGUAGAUGUGGUGGUCGAAACUGAGGAUUGCAACGAAAUACCCUUUGGGCUAUCCGUCUGACCUCUGGAAGUUGCUUGGUAGCCGAAAGCUUGCUUAUGGUAUUUAAGACGACGGCAAAAGGUUAGAACGUGGUUACAUUCGUUAAGGAUGUUGACGUA
rnacentral:rRNA from 1 species